UGAGAAGCCACUCAUACUACAGGCCACCCC
rnacentral:piRNA from 1 species